UUCUCUCUGCUUUCAGCUUCUUUACAGUGUUGCCUUGUGGCAUGGAGUUCAAGCAGCAUUGUACAGGGCUAUCAAAGCACAGAGA
ensembl:miRNA MIR107 microRNA 107